rnacentral:lncRNA from 1 species
UUUGAAAAUGAAAAGAAGUCUGUUAAAAAUUCAGGGUCCAAUGGCAGCCUAGAGUCCUGCUUCUACCAAAAACUUGUAUUCCAAAGGCUGUGACCACUAGUUUGGACUGGCUUGCUCUGACUUCAUAUUCUAGAAACAAAGAUGUUUGCUUUGAAAUCCCAGCUUCAUCCUAAACUGGCAUCUUGGAAACACCACUAGAGGAAGAAUUCUGGAGGAAGGGAGGAGAGGGAGGUUACUGGGAAAUAUAGAAUUGAAAAGGACAGUAAAGGAGAAAAAGAUAAAGGGAAAAAAAGUCAUCUCUUCAGCCCUCAGCUUCUACACUAGACAAGCUAUUCGAAUUAAUCUUGGGUCAUCCUUCUUAAUAUUUAACUAUGAGAGCAGAAGACUAUCUUCGGGGGAAAGGGGGAAAAAAGAAAAAAAAGUGCAAUGGAUGCAGUCUAGUUUAUCGCCACUAGGGGUAUCUUUGUACCAUUUUUCAUCCAGCACCAAUUUGGAGUUGAAACCUAUAUUAGGGGAAAACCAGGGUCCUCGGCAUUUUUUUGCGAGCGGUGCACCCAGAAUCCAAAAAGAUUUUUUUAGCCUCGUCACCCCCAAAGCGACCCCGAGCCCCUUCGUUCCCCCGCCACCAAGCUCGGGGAUCCCUCCAGUGGCUAGCCUCAGCCCAGGGGGGCUUCGUUUUGGAGGUCAAUUUCCCAUCGAGAUAAAUCGAUUGGAUUAGCAGGAUUAUCUGAUUGCAGCGGCCGAGAAGUAGCGCGGGGCUGGACCGCGUCUGGGGCUCGCCGGAUGCUCGGCUUUCCAUGAAGCAGCCUGGGGGGUCGCAGCCCUGGGGAUCGCUGGUGCAACUGGAGGGGGGAAUAGCACGAUCGCUAGGUUUGGGAAGUGUCUGGGGUGACUUAGAGAGGGGGGAGGAGAGAGCGAGAGAGAUUGAGGGAGGGAGAGACCCACACACAGAGACAUACAGAGAGAGAGAGAGAGACAGUCAGGGAGGGGGGUUGGGGGGGGGGAGAGAGAAGGAGAGAGGAGCCCCGGGUUGCAGCUGCUCCAGCCCCAAUAACGCCUGGAACGCCGGAGCCAGGAGCGCCGCGGGGCCGCCACUGCAAACGCCUCCUGAACUGGAUAUCAACCUGCCGCUAACUGGAUUUGAUUGAUCAGAGGGGAAUCCAAAAUAAAUGGCUACUCGCACUGUUCUGCUGCUAUGGA